rnacentral:scRNA from 1 species
GCGGCUUCAUCGGCCGCGUCGCGGGGGAGCCC